UGAGUACGAGAUGCUACGGCAUCGAAGCAGUCUAUGUCAUACUUCCAAGAAAAGCUUGCACUGUCAGAAACAGAUAAUGCCUGUACCAUAACCGACACAGGUGGGUAGGUAGAGUAUACUAAGGGGCGCGAGAUAACUCUCUCUAAGGAACUCGGCAAAAUGACUCCGUAACUUCGGGAGAAGGAGUGCCUUAUUUUUAAGGUUGCAAUAACAAGAUCCAAGCAACUGUCUACCAAAAACACAGGUCUCCGCUAAGUCGUAAGACGAUGUAUGGGGGCUGACGCCUGCCCAGUGCCAGAAGGUUAAAGAAGUCGGUUAGCAUUCGCGAAGCUGGUAACUGAAGCCCUGGUGAACGGCGGCCGUAACUAUAACGGUCCUAAGGUAGCGAAAUUCCUUGUCGGGUAAGUUCCGACCCGCACGAAAGGCGUAAUGAUUUGGAUACUGUCUCGGAGAGGGGCUCGGUGAAAUCGACUUGUCUGUGAAGAUGCGGACUACCUGCACCUGGACAGGAAGACCCUAUGAAGCUUUACUGUAACUUGAAAUUGAAAUUGGACUUUAUUUGCGCAGUAUAGGUGGGAGGCGUUGAAAAUAUUCUUGCGGGAAUAUUGGAGCCAUCAGUGAGAUACCACUCUUGUAAUGUUAGAUUUCUAACUUUAUAUCAUUAUCUGGUUAAAGAACAGUUUCAGGCGGGCAGUUUGACUGGGGCGGUCGCCUCCCAAAUGGUAACGGAGGCGCACAAAGGUCUCCUCUGAACGGGUAGAAAUCGUAUCUAGAGUGUAAAGGCAUAAGGAAGCUUGACUGUGAGACCUACAAGUCGAGCAGGGACGAAAGUCGGUCUUAGUGAUCUGACGGUGCUGAGUGGAAAGGCCGUCACUCAACGGAUAAAAGUUACUUUAGGAUAACAGGCUGAUCUCCCCCAAGAGUUCACAUCGACGGGGAGGUUUGGCACCUCGAUGUCGGCUCAUCGCAUCCUGGGGCGGUAGUACGUCCCAAGGGUUGGGCUGUUCGCCCAUGAAAGCGGUACGCGAGCUGGGUUCAGAACGUCGUGAGACAGUUCGGUCCAUAUCCGGUGUAGGCGUUAGAAUAUUGAGAGGAGCCUUCUUUAGUACGAGAGGACCGAGAAGGACAUACCUCUGGUGUACCAGUUAUCGUGCCAACGGUAAACGCUGGGUAGCUAUGUAUGGAGUGGAUAACCGCUGAAAGCAUCUAAGUGGGAAGCCCACCUCAAGAUAAGUA
rnacentral:rRNA from 1 species